CCCAGUAUAUGGGUCGGGGCGUAGGAAAUUAACCAUGACACGACCACACAUAGCCGAUACAAAUCGGUUCGAACACUUAGCCGAUACAAAUCGGUUCAAACGCAUAACCGAUGCAAAUCGGUUCAAACACAUAGUCGACCGGAUCGGCCGAUUGCAUUCAUUCGGUACGGGCGAUGGGUUACAUGGCCGACAAAACAUUAGUCGCCCUUAGAAUGAAAAAUACAAAAACUAAUUAUUCUUCUUCUUGGGCGCCUUCCCGUUCCGC
rnacentral:lncRNA from 1 species